GAUCUGCACUCCUCUUGUUAUAGUCACAAGGCAGAAUUCUUAGGAAAACACCAUGGAAACAGUGCUAGCUUUCUCCACAGGACACACCAGUGACCCUGCCACUGAUCUCCUCCUUGGAGGAAGAAGCAGAAGUAUUAUUAGAAAUAAGUGGGCUGUAUUGGACUGCUAAACAACACACUGGAGAGGCAUAUGUUCUUCUCAAUUCCAGGAGCUUCUCAUGUGGAGUGAAAGGUUCUCAGUUCAGUCUUACCUGUUGGACUUCUUGGGAAUAGCAGUGAAGGCUCCGUUUACAGAAGGGUGAGAAACCUGAGCUUUGCAGAUGCACGUCUCUCUCUCGCUGUCAUCUUGCAAGAAGUGGGGAUUAGGUGUGGUCACCAUUGGCGGAACUGAAGCGCAGCAGCCCAUUGGAGAAGCGAUAAGGACGGAUAACGUCUGUGGAGACAGGCUGGCAGGGUUACAUGGAACAGUGCUUUCUUCACAGAAGCUUGCCCCUGGCUCCAUCUUGCUGGGGUCACUGGGUGUGUCCUCAUAAACAGGAGAUGGAGGAAGACUCAGCUCACACAGAAAAGGCAAAGUGAUGGCGGCAGCAGUGAACAGCUGGAGAGACCUGAAGACGAUGGCGGAAGAGGCCAUGAGCUGAGGAAUGAAGAACACAAGUGCAUCUCUCACCCCCAGAGCCUACAGAGGGAUGCAACCCUGCAAACAUGUUGACUUUGCCCUGUCACUCUAAACUUCAGGUUUCUGGAACUGUAAGGCAGUUAGACAAGUCUGUGUUGUUUUUAAGCCACUAAUUUGGUGGCAGCUUGUUACAACAGUGGUAGGAAACUAAUAAAUGAUAUUUAAAAAUUCAAUAACUGUAUUUACAUCUUUACCCAAGGACUUUAGAGGAUUCUGUUAAUGGGUAGAAAAUAACCUACAUCCUUUCUCUCCCUUACAGUUCCGCAGUUCACUACAGCCUGUUUCAAGCAAUGGUCUACUUCUGAAUUAAACACAGUGAAACCUUAACACUGCCCAGCCUUUAAAGUACAUCACCCUGA